AGAGCAAACCUCUUUCCAUCAGACCCGAGAGAGAAACAAAAUAAAAUGGAGACAUUUUCCUUAAGCUUUUUUCAUACAAAAACCUUGAUCCACGAAGAUCCAACGGUCCGAUCUUCGAUCCGUCUUCGAAAAUGUGAUCCUUGCACUCGGAUCUACGUUUCUACCGAUUGGUUUGAGGAUGUGUUAUGAAGAUCUUGCUAAACACUCUCCAAGUGUUGGAUUUACAUUUGGUGAAAUUUUUGAUGUUCCUUUGGCUGCAGGUACUCCGGUCAUAGGGGAGAGUGUUGUAGAUGUGCACUUGGGAUAAUAUGACCGAAGCUCGCCGCGACAGUCGUAAUGGUUGGACCACAGUUGUCCACUAUUUUAUAGGUUUUGUUUAUGGCUGGUGACGCUUUAGUCACUUGUUAUUGUAUAAGCCAUUCCUGUUGUUUAAAUAUUAUGUUGAUAGGACUUAAACAUAUAGAUGUUAAAUGGCUCUGUAUUGUAAAUAAUUUGUAAUAUAUUUAUAAGCUAUGCUUUUUGCUAUAUUCAGGUUUAUGUUUCCGCUGCAUAGUUAGUUAUAUGUUA